rnacentral:rRNA from 1 species
GCUACACAUGCAGUCGAGCGGAACGAGAAGGUGCUUGCACCUUCCGGCGUCGAGCGGCGGACGGGUGAGUAAUGCCUGGGAAAUUGCCUUGAUGUGGGGGAUAACCAUUGGAAACGAUGGCUAAUACCGCAUAANGCCUACGGGCCAAAGAGGGGGACCUUCGGGCCUCUCGCGUCAAGAUAUGCCCAGGUGGGAUUAGCUAGUUGGUGAGGUAAAGGCUCACCAAGGCGACGAUCCCUAGCUGGUCUGAGAGGAUGAUCAGCCACACUGGAACUGAGACACGGUCCAGACUCCUACGGGAGGCAGCAGUGGGGAAUAUUGCACAAUGGGCGCAAGCCUGAUGCAGCCAUGCCGCGUGUAUGAAGAAGGCCUUCGGGUUGUAAAGUACUUUCAGUCGUGAGGAAGGUGGUAGUGUUAAUAGCACCAUCAUUUGACGUUAGCGACAGAAGAAGCACCGGCUAACUCCGUGCCAGCAGCCGCGGUAAUACGGAGGGUGCGAGCGUUAAUCGGAAUUACUGGGCGUAAAGCGCAUGCAGGUGGUUCGUUAAGUCAGAUGUGAAAGCCCGGGGCUCAACCUCGGAAUAGCAUUUGAAACUGUCGGACUAGAGUACUGUAGAGGGGGGUAGAAUUUCAGGUGUAGCGGUGAAAUGCGUAGAGAUCUGAAGGAAUACCAGUGGCGAAGGCGGCCCCCUGGACAGAUACUGACACUCAGAUGCG